CGGCGCCGCGUGGGGGAUGAAGCUUUUCGGACGUGUAAACCCCUUUCGACCCGGACGAAUGACCCGCAAGGGUUUGACGGUACGGGUAUAAGAAGCCCCGGCUAACUACCGUGC
rnacentral:rRNA from 1 species